GGGAGCAGAUGGGUGCUGGUGUGUCCCUCGGUCUUCAAAACCGAUGUAAGGGGUUAGUCGCUUCUUGGGUGGGUUCGAUUCCCACAUGCUCUCGCCA
rnacentral:tRNA from 1 species